CGCAGGAAGAUGAAUAAAAGAGGGCCUAAGAGUAGUGGGCAUGGGAACUUGAUGGAAUACUAAAGCUCUCUUAGUUCCUCGUGCAACACUGAAACAUACUUUGGUUGAGUUUUGCCCAUGUCUCCCAUGCCUAUUGUUUUUUGGUGCUCCUACCUCUUCCUUUUGGGU
rfam:Hordeum vulgare subsp. vulgare, WGS project CAJW01000000 data, contig: morex_contig_2547147